rnacentral:rRNA from 1 species
CCCUGCCAUUUGUACACACCGCCCGUCGCACCUACCGAUUGAAUGGUCCGGUGAGGCCUCGGGAUUGUGACCAGUUCACUUCAUUGUGAGUUGGUUGCGAGAACUUGUCCAAACCUUAUCAUUUAGAGGAAGGUGAAGUCGUAACAAGGUUUCCG